rnacentral:tRNA from 1 species
GGUUGUAUGGAGUAGUUGGUUAACUUAGGAGAUUCUGAUUGUUCGAGCUUGUAAGCUCAUCAAUACGAUUCGACUUCUCUUGCCCUGGGUUCGAAUCCCAGUACGACCU